CCCUAUAGAUCCGGAUAACCUCGGGGAAACUGAGGCUAAUCCGGAAUAGGGCUCUCAUGCUGGAACUGCAGAGAGCUCGAAACGCUCCGGCGCUAUAGGAUGUGGCUGCGGCCGAUUAGGUAGACGGUGGGGUAACGGCCCACCGUGCCAAUAAUCGGUACGGGUUGUGAGAGCAAGAGCCCGGAGACGGUAUCUGAGACAAGAUACCGGGCCCUACGGGGCGCAGCAGGCGCGAAACCUUUACACUGCACGACAGUGCGAUAAGGGGACUCCGAGUGCGAGGGCAUAUAGUCCUCGCUUUUCACCACCGUAAGGAGGUGGUGGAAUAAGUGCUGGGCAAGACCGGUGCCAGCCGCCGCGGUAAUACCGGCAGCACGAGUGAUGGCCGCUCUUAUUGGGCCUAAAGCGUCCGUAGCUGGCCAGGCAAGUCCAUCGGGAAAUCCGCACGCUCAACGUGCGGGCGUCCGGUGGAAACUGCCUGGCUUGGGACCGGAAGACCCGAGGGGUACGUCCGGGGUAGGAGUGAAAUCCCGUAAUCCUGGACGGACCACCGGUGGCGAAAGCGCCUCGGGAAGACGGAUCCGACGGUGAGGGACGAAAGCUCGGGUCACGAACCGGAUUAGAUACCCGGGUAGUCCGAGCUGUAAACGAUGUCUGCUAGGUGUGACACAGGCUACGAGCCUGUGUUGUGCCGCAGGGAAGCCGUGAAGCAGACCGCCUGGGAAGUACGUCCGCAAGGAUGAAAUUCAA
rnacentral:rRNA from 1 species